ACUGGAAGAAUCAUCCUUAGUUGUUCACAGGAGGCAGCCGUCUUAAUUGAGUCACUAAGAUUUAGCAUCAGUUCCAUAAGCAUAACAACUUAAAACUCACCAAGAAGAGAAUGCUAGCUAAGGACUUAGAAUCCGCACGUCUUGUCUCAGAGGAAACAAUGUGAUGGAACUAAUUAUUAGAAGGAAGACAGGCAUGAGGUUAAAAGCAUGCAGUCUCCCAUUUUUGACGCACCCAGAACAAAGAGACCAGGCAAUGAAGCAUCUGACUGGCUUGGACUGUGCCUGUUUACCAAAUUCCAGACCAUUCCUCAUUCCCACCCAGCCCACCAGGCACAGACAAUCCUAAAAGGGGGUGAUCAGCCUCAGGCUCAUGGUUUAAGCCCGAAGCUCUGGUUCCAGGCUCAGAGCUAGAAAACUGUAGCUCCCACCUCAUUCCCUCUCCCUCAACACAGCCCCUCGCUCCUCCCUGGGUCUCAGCGAGGCAGAGGGUCAGGAAGUGGGGUAAAUCUCCAGAUGAUCCUCAUUUCAAGGACAGCCGCCUGUCAGCCUGUGGCUCAACUUGGAAUCAACAGCCUAAGACACCUAGAUUUUCUUCACUGGCCCCUCUCUUUAAAGAUAGCCCAGUAUGAGAAGAAAAUGAGAACCGUCUGCUAAAUUGCACAGGGUGCCCAGGACACUGCCAGUGGAAUGUGGUCAUGUGUACCAGCCAAAAAUACAAAACGUAUCUUCAGUCAUUAGUAGGAGCAAAACCAUCCAGAUGUACUCUCGGUUUCAGUGAACUUAGGCUGGAGGUUGGGGUGUACUCACAGACUAAAACGAUGCUCUCCAGAAGCAAAACACUUGACCAAGCAUGCGCCAAAGGGACUGCGGAAUUGGCCAAAAGUGGGACUCAGAAGCCAGUCCGUCAUCCAGCUGGGCGAGCACGAAGUCACAAGUGCAAAAAGCUAAACGACUCAAGAACAGUCCCCACCCCGCCCCGGGCGCCCACCUACCUGAGGCUUGUCCGAAGGAAGGUUGGGAUGCACACUUCGGUAGCCCUUGGCAACGAGUGGAGAGGGCUGGGCGUUUCCAUUGGCAUCAGCAUUGGAAGGAAGCCUCCACUCAUCUGAGAGAUGAAAAAAAGAAGAAACCCCUCACUCACAGGAACACUCCCUGGUUCUCCUCUUAAUUGAAGGGUUCCCCUCUAAUUGAAGGGUUCCUGGUGGAAGGGCAGGGACAGAAAGGAUGCAAGAGAAAUCAUACCUGCUGAGGAAUUCUCUGACUCCAGAACUACAUGUGGCGCACAAAGGAUGAAAACAAGAAGGGGGGAAAACAGAAAUGGUUACGUUUGCAGGAAACAAGCACGUACUGCACAGAAAGACGAAACUCCAGCACUCCGUUGCCUGACACAAAAUGCCCUCAGUCACGAUGGUCUAAUUACCAUAGGAACCCACUCUAAACCAUGAUGUGCUCACAGGCGCUGACCUUUGAAAACACAAGGCUCACAUUCACAGUAAUGAAGAAACAAUUGUUCUUGACAUUCUUAUUUUACAGACAAAAAGGCCACAGCACUCUCCUGUCCAGUCCUGACUCACUAACUUGCAUUCCCCUUUUAUAAGCCUGACGUGGGCCCAGAAUGACCUCUCCUCAUCAGCAGCCUGGGCUAAUUAACAGACCCGGAGAGGGAGACAUCGAUAAGCACUUUUUCCAUGGCUGUUGGUGCUGCGCAAAGGCGAGAACAUGAUUUAAGCCCCAAGGUAUCUGCUGUGAUAAGGGCUUUUUUUCCUCCCUGCCUGCCUUUCUUCUUUCCAUUAAACGAGCUACAUAAAGAUUUCAAAAGCUAAUCACCCUGAGUUUUCAUCAUACUACAAGGCACCCUUGUCCCCCUUCAGCCAGCUACCACCCUGCCCUCCAUCUAUUGCCUGGAGCAGCUCAGAGACCCUAAACCUCUCCUAACCUGACCAGCACCACGAGGCAGGACGGCGCAGUGGUCACAAGCUUGGCUGGGAAGGCAGCUGGACCUCAAUUCAAAUCCUGGCUCCUCCACCUAUGGGCUCUGUGGCCCUGGGCAAGUUAUAAGCCUCAGUUUUCCCAUAUAAAAAAUGGGGGUAACGAUAUGCCUGCUUCAUACGUGUUGUUUUAAGAAUUAAAAGAUAUAAUGCAUGAGAGAUGCUUAGAACAGUGCCUGGCAGAGCUCAGCAACGUUUGUUAUUUACCACCAUCUUCUGCAUCAUCUCUUGUCUCUGUUCUCUAUCUUCCAUGUAGCCCAGGGGUUAGCAAACCUUUUCUGUAAAGGGCCAGUUAGCAAAUACUUUAGGCUUUGACGGCCAUAUGGGCUCAGUCACAACUAUUCAACUCUGCUGUUGUAGCACAAAAGCAGCCGCAAACAAUAUCAAGUGAACGAAGGUGGCUGUGUUCCAAUAAACCUUUAUUUGUGGAAACUGGA